rnacentral:rRNA from 1 species
AUGUUCAGCAUUUUUCUUCUUUGGCACCUUUAGGUCUCAGAUCCUAUCUGAUCUUGGAAGCUAAGCAGGAUCAGAUUUGGUUAAUACUUGGAUGGGAGACCAUAAAUGAAUACCUGGUGCUAUAGGUC